AAUGAACGCUGGCGGCAGGCCUAACACAUGCAAGUCGAACGGAUCCUGCGGGAUUAGUGGCGGACGGGUGAGUAACGCGUGGGAACAUACCCAAAGGUACGGAAUAGCCUCGGGAAACUGGGAGUAAUACCGUAUGUGCUAGAAAGAGGAAAGAUUUAUCGCCUUUGGAUGGGCCCGCGUUGGAGUAGGUAGUGGGUGGGGUCAUGGCCUACCAAGCCGACGAUCCAUAGCUGGUUUGAGAGGAUGAUCAGCCAAACUGGGACUGAGACACGGCCCAGACUCCUACGGGAGGCAGCAGUGGGGAAUCUUAGACAAUGGGGGAAACCCUGAUCUAGCCAUGCCGCGUGAUCGAUGAAGGCCUUAGGGUUGUAAAGAUCUUUCAGGUGGGAAGAUAAUGACUGUACCACCAGAAGAAGCCCCGGCUAACUCCGUGCCAGCCGCCGCGGUAA
rnacentral:rRNA from 1 species